UUUCCGUAGGUGAACCUGCGGAAGGAUCAUUACUGAGUGAGGGCCCUCUGGGUCCAACCUCCCACCCGUGUUUAUCGUACCUUGUUGCUUCGGCGGGCCCGCCUCACGGCCGCCGGGGGGCACCCGCCCCCGGGCCCGCGCCCGCCGAAGACACCAUUGAACGCUGUCUGAAGAUUGCAGUCUGAGCAUCUUAGCUAAAUCAGUUAAAACUUUCAACAACGGAUCUCUUGGUUCCG
rnacentral:misc_RNA from 1 species